CGCUGCACCCCCGCUAUUGUGGAGGCUUUUGAAGCGCAGAGAAUGGAGCAGGUUCCAGCGCUCGCCCCGCAUCAGACCCCGCUGAGCCCUCGGCCAUGCGCCUGCUCCGAGCCCAGCCGCUGGGCACCGCGAGGCGGUCGGUGCGGGCCGUGGCACUGCCGGCACCCGCCGGUGCCUCGCUGGGGCUGCGCCUGGGCUCCUGGCUGCUGCGGCUGCUGCGGGAGUGCGUGUACCUCCUGCUCUGCAGCUGGUGCAUCCGUGAGCUGCUGGACUAGGGAUGGAUCCCCCCCCCUGGCACCUCCUGCCUGCCCUGCGCAGUGAUGGGCCUGCCUGCUUGUUGCCCCAUGCUGAUGGAGCUGAUGGACACCCAGUGCUGGGACCACGCUCUGCCAUCGCAGAGACCCCAAUAAACCUGAGUAGCACCUGA